UCAAAUAACAUAAAUCGAAAUUAGAUAUUCUAACACGUGGGAAAGACAGAUGGAUGACAUUAAACAUCUCUUUCUGCAAAGACAAAUGGCUAUUCACUGUGGAUUUUGUUUGUAAUCAUUUUUGGGGUGCUUACCUGCCAAAGAACUCUUGUUGUGCCAGACUGGUUUUAAGGUCAAAAAGAAACUUAUCAAGAUUUGGAAGCCAUUCCAGUCUGUUCAUGUAGGGUGAUACAGAGAGGAAGGAACCAACGAUGCUUCGUAGGCAAAUCUACUGCUAUCCAAAUUUUGAAACAUAAAUGUCUUAGCAAUUUACCAUUCUGGUUGAAUUUUCCGAUGUAUAUGAAGAGUUAAUAGCAGUUUUUUAAUAGCCAAUCCAUUCUGGUUGAAUUUCCGAUGUAUACGAAGAGUUGAUAGCAGUUUUUUAAUAGCCGAUAAAUCUGUUGUUUCCAGCUUCGAUAGCCGGUGGAUAAUGGGACCCUCCCUCUACCCUUUCUCCAAUUAAUUGCCAGACAUGGUGCGGCUACCACAUAUCCCUGUGCUGUACUACCUUUGCCAACCAGGCUGAUGAACUAAUUGCCCCAAGUCUCUUCAGGAUGACAUUAAACAUCUCUUUCUGCAAAGACAAAUGGCUAUUCACUGUGGAUUUUAUUUGUAAUCAUUUUUGGGGUGCAACGGGCGAUGGCAAGGACUGCCAAAGAACUCUUGUUGUGCCAGACUGGUUUUAAGGUCAAAAAGAAACUUAUCAAGAUUUGGAAGCCAUUCCAGUCUGUUCAUGUAGGGUGAUACAGAGAGGAAGGAACCAACGAUGCUUCGUAGGCAAAUCUACUGCUAUCCAAAUUUUGAAACAUAAAUGUCUUAGCAAUUUACCAUUCUGGUUGAAUUUUCCGAUGUAUAUGAAGAGUUAAUAGCAGUUUUUUAAUAGCCAAUAAAUCUGUUGUUUCCAGCUUCGAUAGCCGGUGGAUAAUGGACCCUCCCUCUACCCUUUCUCCAAUUAAUUGCCAGACAUGUUGCAGUUACCACAUAUCCCUGUGCUGUACUACCUUUGCCAACCAGGCUGAUAAACUAGUUGCCCUUGGUUUCUUCUAUGGUAAUUUUGUUAGCUCAUUACAGAUUGAACAGAUUUU
rnacentral:lncRNA from 1 species